rnacentral:lncRNA from 1 species
UUUAUUUGUUAAAUCUGGAAGCCCUCCUUCCUAUCCACCUGGUCUUCCUCUCUAGCUAGUAACCAGGACCUCUGUCAUUACUCAGGUUCCUGCAGAAAGGGUGGCGGGGAUGCUUCUGAACUCAAGCCUGACUUGGAUCACUGAUGUCCAGCGCCCCACUGCUACAGUAAGCUUGUUCUACAGGUUCCCAGAGGGGUCCCAGGAGGAAGCCACUGUGGCCAGCAGGAGUUGUGGGGUGGCUGACUGGGGACCCCAGGAGCGCCUGGCAGCCCAGAGCCAUGAAAUCAUGAUGCUGCAGCGUGUGCUGCGCAGAGACAGUAGCAAAGGGCUGAUGAAUUUAACAGGACAGCAUGGCUCCUCCUUUCUGGAAGUGGGGAAACCAAAGCAGGGUGGGCUCAGGGCAAGGUCAGGUGAGAGGGGCUGUCGGCAAACUUCCUUUCCUUCUUCCCUUGACUCGUAGCAGGGAGUCUUCCUGAACCUCUAAAAUCCAUAUUUCAUGAUUGACUCUUCUUCUAUCAGGCAAACCCUAAAUGGUGGUCAUGAUGCCUCAUGUCCCUUUGCCUGAGUCUCUUGUGGGGUCAGACACACACAGGGGUAGCUGGGGGCUGGUUGUAAGGUCCUUGCUUAGCAUCUGGACGGCCAUCUUAAGUGACAGCUGCCAUUUUAAGAAAAAUUUCACUUGUCCCACCCAAGAGCAUUUCUGAGAAAGGCUCACCACUCCCUCAUACUCACCCCACCCUUAACCACCCAUCUCUAAUCCCUCAGCCUGCCCCAAACCUGUAUUGCCUCUCUUGUCCAAGGAGAGAUGGCCUUUCUUUGUCAGCUUGACACAUAAACUCUCGUGUAUAUGUCUGCCUCACUUUCCUUUCAGCUGGGUCUUCACAGUGCAGAGCAGUUGGCCCUGGCACAUGCCUUCGGAAGCCUGGCCACCUGCUUGGGAAACUCAGUGAGAUACUGUCUCAAAAUUUUAAAAAUAAAUAAGUAAGUGCUGGAGGUAAACUCACAGGCAGAGCUCUUUUUGGUUCAAUCCCCAGUACUGCAAAAAAACAACACCAAUAACAACAACAAAAACCUGGCCAUGUGAGGCCAAAAUGUGGGGGGUUUCUGUGAAGAGAGAGACAAUGAGGAGACCACUUUUGAGCAGCGUGCAUUUCCCACCAUGGGUAAGGAGCACCUCUGCAAGUCCUGAAACCUGGUCUCCAAGAAAAGGAAACUUUGCUGCCUCCUCUGGUUGCUCUAGACACCUAGAGCUACAAUAAAAGGGACAGUGCCCAGGCUGAAGGCUUCCUGUUUAACUCACUGUUGAUCCGCUGCCUUGGCAAUGGCGAGUCUCUUUGGCCUCCUCACCCUACCCAGGGCUGGGCACCCAGCAGACCUCAAUCAAUCCCUUUUUCUCCCAAGGCCUCUCAUUCCUUAACAGCCUGUUCCUGUAGAUGGAUGGAGAAGAUCCUUUUCUGGCCCUGCUGGCAAAGGGCAGUGGUGUGCAGGACCCUUAGGAAGGACAGGCAGCUCUGCAACUGGGAAUGUGUCCUGGCCCUGUGUCCUUGGGACCUGCAGCUGAUAGCAUCUAGGCUGGGUCCAGGUGAUUGGCAAGUGGCACCCGGAUCCUACUCCAGGAAUUUAGAGAAAUAACGGAAUUCGGGCCAGGCGCAGCGGAACAUGCCUAUGAUCCCAGCGGCUUGGGAGGUGGAGACAGGAGAAUUGUGAGUUCAAAGCCAGCCUCAGCAACAGCAAGACACUAAGCAACUCAGUGAGACCCUGUCUCUAAAUAAAAUACAAAGUAGAGCUGGGAAUGUGGCUCAGUGAUCAAGUGCCCCUGAGUUCAAUUCCAGUUCCAAAAAAAAAAAAGAGAAUCAGGGAGGGGCUGUGUCAUGUUGAUGCUCUCCAUCAGCACAGUCUCAGUAUGUAACGGCACUGGUUUGCCGUUGUCUCAUGGACAUGUCUCCCACACUGGCCUGGUCUCUCAGGAAGAAGCAUAUGGUCACUACCAUGUCCUAGAGCCCUGCAGCAGGUGCUCAAUCAGUGCAUACUGAAUGAAGAGUAGAUGAGUGACAUCCAGAUUUCCCCCCAACCCUGCCUCCUCUCAGACCCCUGUGUCUUCCAGCUGUGAGAACUGGCUGGAAGGAAAUGACUCACCAUGGAGAGAUGCCACCAGGUCAGCCUCACACUUGUGCUCUUUUGUCCUAGGGGUCCCUUCUCAGGAAACAGGGACAGCACAGGUAACCACAGGGGAGGCCUAGGAGCACAGAUAAGAUGUGAUGCUUGUCUUAAGGAUUCUGCCUGACUGGGGACUCAAGGGCGCAGAGCUAGAGGUCCUUAUGGAAGUGAGUCAUGUGUUAUUCUUGGACUGGAGUUGUGGCUCAGAGGUAGAGUGCUUGCCUAGCCUGCAUGAGGCACUAGGUUCGAUCCUCAGCACCAC